rnacentral:rRNA from 1 species
AGAGGGUGCGAGCGUUAAUCGGAAUUACUGGGCGUAAAGCGUGCGUAGACGGUUACGUAAGUCGGGUGUGAAAGCCCCGGGCUCAACCUGGGAAUUGCAUUCGAGACUGCGAAGCUAGGGUGCGGAAGAGGGAAGCGGAAUUUCCGGUGUAGCGGUGAAAUGCGUAGAUAUCGGAAGGAACAUCAGUGGCGAAAGCGGCUUCCUGGUCCAGCACCGACGUUCAGGCACGAAAGCGUGGGGAGCAAACAGGAUUAGAUACCCUGGUAGUCCACGCCAUAAACGAUGACAACUAGACGUUGAGAGGGUAAGCCUCCCAGUGUCGAAGCUAACGCGAUAAGUUGUCCGCCUGGGGAGUACGGCCGCAAGGUUG